UACGUAGGGUGCAAGCGUUAAUCGGAAUUACUGGGCGUAAAGCGUGCGCAGGCGGUGAUGUAAGACAGAUGUGAAAUCCCCGGACUCAACCUGGGAACUGCAUUUGUGACUGCAUCGCUGGAGUACGGCAGAGGGGGAUGGAAUUCCGCGUGUAGCAGUGAAAUGCGUAGAUAUGCGGAGGAACACCGAUGGCGAAGGCAAUCCCCUGGGCCUGUACUGACGCUCAUGCACGAAAGCGUGGGGAGCAAACAGG
rnacentral:rRNA from 1 species